GGGCACGUAGUUCAGUCCGGUAGAACGCUCGGAACGAGAUCGGAUCGCCGGGGGUGUGAGUCCGCGCGGCACGUCCCGGGGCCUUUGGUCAGCGAUCCGGUCAUCCGAGAGGCCCUGGGUUCGAGUCCCAGUGUACCCA
rnacentral:tRNA from 1 species